ACACGAUCCCACGCCCACGCAGCCUCCUCGCCUCCCGCACCCCAUGGCUCCCGAUCCCGUCUCUCUCCCGGCUCCUGAAAAAAAAUGUCUCCUGCUGUCGCCUCCUCGUCCGCCCCGCGGUCGUGGUCCAGGCCGUCGGUGCUGGGAUCCAGUCCCAUGAAAAAAUUCUCUACUCCUCCCUCUCUUAUCUGUACCACUCUGGAUCGCAUCCAACCAUCGACAAGCUUGGCGGCGGCGCAGAAGGAGAGCGCCGGUACGUCGGCGCUAGAGGACGUACUAGGCCUGGGGGUGGUGUGCAGGUGCAGCCGUACGACUCGGCCAUUGCGGAUGCGCUGGCCGCCGGGAACGUUAGUACGCCACCAUUGGGGACGCCGAGCUUGGCGGCGGCGCAGGAGAGUGCCGGUACAUCGGCGCUAGAGGACAUUCUGGGCCUGGGGGUGGUGUGUAGGUGCAGCGGUACAACUCGGCCAUGGCGGAUGCGCUGGCCGCCGGGAACGCCAGUAUGCCACCGUUGGGGACGCCGUUAGGAAGGGGUUCUCGGUGCGACGGAAGGUCAGCGACGAGUGCCAGGCUUCUAGAGGGCGCCGCGGGUAUGACAGCGGGUGCCGGAUGAUCACACGUGCUUCUGCUCCGGCGUACAGGCUAGCAGAUCGUGUCGUACUACUUCUUUAGGUUCAGGGCCAGGAUCAUCAUGGCGCCUGCACAGGGUGGUAUGAGUACAGCGCAGCCGACGCAUCCUCCACCCGCCGCCGGUCUCUUUUUCAUCAUGCAAGCAAGGAGACUCAUCGAUCAGAACUGGUACAUGCGUGCCGCGUGCGGCAUGCCAUUGGAGAAUAGUGAAGCAAGCCAAUGGAUGAAGAAUCAUUGGCACCGGCCUAUGUGGCAGCAUUACCAGAUGCGUACGCAGUUCGUGCGAAGGGACCCCUCGGCGCUGCUACGUUGAUUCAGUGGGAAUCACCAGUUAACCGACGCCGCUGUUGAAGGCAUCUAGAAAUAGCUUGUGUCUUUUCCUGUUCUCCUCAUUGGCGUUCUCGUCCCUUCCUCUUGACUCAUGCAGAUUCCAAACAUGGCGGUGUUUUUUGUUUGUUCAUAUGCAGGUUCUCUCCUAGAUUUGGUGGUGCAGAAGCCAGCGGCGUUGGCGCGCUGCAGCCUGUAGGUCAUGGGUGUGAAGAAGCAGGCCCUGAUUCUGAACUAUGGGAGGCAUGAAGGAGGCCAGGAGAGAGUGCAGGCCUGCGACUAGGAUCAACAGCAUGAGGCGACAUCACAUUGUGGCUAUCAAGUUAUUAUGGAGGACAAAAAAGAAGAGGUGCAUUGCAAUCUAUAUUUGACUACUAAAUGUGUGCCACAAUCUGUUGACUUAGGUAUGUGUAGUAUGCUUCAGGUAAUUAAUCACUGUAUCUGUUUCAUCAAUUAUUUCCUUUUCAUUCAAUUGAUUAAAAAGCGUGAGUCAAAUGUGUAAGUACGGAAAAAGUUCUUCCAUUGGGUUGCCACUACAACGAAAUAAACAUGUAAAUGACUGUUAAACGUACUCUAUUUUCGUAAUUGAAAGGCAAUGUUUCUGCCAGUCUCUUGAAAGAACUAUAAGAAAUGCAGCCUUGAUAGCUGAAUGUCUACAUUCAUUUUUGGAUAUCACAGAGCUAUAUAUCAAUGAGUUAUUAUGUUGAUGCACACUGCAUUCAGUUUAGUGAGCUUGUUUUUUUUACCUGAUUCAGUGGUCAUGUAAUUGGGUGGUGAAGAACACUAGCAAGCUGCAUAGGAGAAAUUCAUACGUGCACCUGCGUUUUUUUUAGAAAAGAAGGAUGACCCCCGGCCUCUGCAUCUAGGAGAUGCAUGCGGCCAUUUUAUUGAUUAUUCUCAAGGACCUUACAAAGUAUAACAACAAUAUGCCUGAAUCCGCCAUCUUGGCAACAUCUGCCGCUACUCCUAUUCAAAUGAUGAAGGGGUGCAAGCUGGGCCACAUACCCAGACCUCUCACCUAAGCCUAACAUCUAAG